GCGGACGUGGCGGAAUUGGUAUACGCACAGGCUUGAGGAGCCUGGGUCGCAAGACCGUGGAGGUUCGAGUCCUCUCGUCCGCACCA
rnacentral:tRNA from 1 species